CUUGACUCAUAUUGGAGGCAUAUUAUUUCAUGUUAUUUUUUCUUUCAGUGAUGUAAUUGAGUAUUGCCUUGAAUUCUUUCUCAGCAACUUGUUUGAUGCAUCCAUAAAAUUAUGCAUAAGAAAGUGCUCCCAGGAACAUGUAGUCUCCCCAUCCUACUGUCAUUUUUACCUGCUUAUGAAUUUCAUAAUUGGAAUUCUGUAGAAUUUUAAAAGGAAGUUUCUAAACAUGGUACACAUCCUAAGCUGAUUAUUUCCCAAACAACCUGUGCUUGGGAAACAUUUUCUUAAAUUAUACGUUAAUUGUUGGCUGUCUUUUGAGCCAUAUUAUUUUAUAGAUCUGUGUAAUACUUGCAAAUAGGAAUAGGCCAUAUACCAGUGUACCCUCUUCUCUCUCCCUGAGUAUCCACAACGUAAGUAAAUACUUUGGACUCUUUCCUGCUUACUCGUAGAAAUCGCCAGUUGUAUACCUAGAUUUCCUGGACUGUGUUUGAUAGAUUUAAG
rnacentral:lncRNA from 1 species